GAUGAACGCUAGCUACAGGCUUAACACAUGCAAGUCGCGGGGCAGCAUGAAUUUAGCUUGCUAAAUUUGAUGGCGACCGGCGCACGGGUGAGUAUCGCGUAUCCAACCUUCCCAUAUCCACGGGAUAGCCUGCCGAAAGGCAGAUUAAUACCGUAUGUUGUCGCACGCUGGCAUCAAAAAUGCGACGAAAAGGCUUAGCGGAUAUGGAUGGGGAUGCGUCCGAUUAGCUUGACGGCGGGGUAACGGCCCACCGUGGCGACGAUCGGUAGGGGUUCUGAGAGGAAGGUCCCCCACAUUGGAACUGAGACACGGUCCAAAACUCCUACGGGAGGCAGCAGUGAGGAAUAUUGGUCAAUGGGCGGAGGACG
rnacentral:rRNA from 1 species